CGGUUAAAAAGCUCGUAGUUGGGUUUCUGUUGAAAACGGCCGGUCUGUACUUCGUGCAUGUAUCUGGUUCGUCUUCGGCAUCUUCGUGGGAACUGCGUCUGCGCUUGAUUGCGUGGUGUAGGGUUCGCGACUUUUACUUUGAGGAAAUUAGAGUGUUCACAGCAGGCAACAGCCUUGAAUACAUUAGCAUGGAAUAAUAAGAUAGGACCUUCGUUCUAUAUUGUUGGUUGCUAGGAUGAAGGUAAUGGUUAAUAGGGAUAAUUGGGGGCAUCCGUACUAACGCGUCAGAGGUGGAAUUCUUGGAUUGCGUUAUGACGAACUACUGCGAAAGCAUUUGCCAAGGAUGUUUUCAUUGAUCAAGAACGAAAGUAGCGGGAUCGAAGAUGAUUAGAUACCGUCGUAGUCGCUACCAUAAACAAUGCCAACUAGAAAUUGGAGGUUGUUGUCUGAUGACUUCUUCAGCAUCUUAUGAGAAAUCAAAGUCUUUGGGUUCCGGGGGGAGUAUGGUCGCAAGGCUGAAACUUAAAGGAAUUGACGGAAAGGCACCACCAGGAGUGGAGCCUGCGGCUUAAUUUGACUCA
rnacentral:rRNA from 1 species